GACGAACGCUGGCGGCGUGCCUAAUACAUGCAAGUCGAGCGGAUCUUCAUUAGCUUGCUUUUGAAGAUCAGCGGCGGACGGGUGAGUAACACGUGGGUAACCUACCUGUAAGACUGGGAUAACUUCGGGAAACCGGAGCUAAUACCGGAUAAUCCUUUUCCUCUCAUGAGGAGAAGCUGAAAGACGGUUUCGGCUGUCACUUACAGAUGGGCCCGCGGCGCAUUAGCUAGUUGGUGAGGUAACGGCUCACCAAGGCGACGAUGCGUAGCCGACCUGAGAGGGUGAUCGGCCACGCUGGGACUGAGAAACGGCGCAGACGCCUACGGGAGGCAGCGGUAGGGAAUCUUCCGCAAUGGACGAAAGUCUGACGGAGCGACGCCGCGUGAGCGAUGAAGGCCUUCGGGUCGUAAAGCUCUGUUGUCAGGGAAGAACAAGUACCGGAGUAACUGCCGGUACCUUGACGGUACCUGACCAGAAAGCCACGGCUAACUACGUGCCAGCCGCCGCCGUAAUAC
rnacentral:rRNA from 1 species